AUUGAACGCUGGCGGCAGGCCUAACACAUGCAAGUCGAGCGGAAACGGCAGUAUUGAAGCUUCGGUGGAUUUACUGGACGUCGAGCGGCGGACGGGUGAGUAACGGCUGGGAACCUGCCCUGACGAGGGGGAUAACCGUUGGAAACGACGGCUAAUACCGCAUAAUGUCUACGGACCAAAGGUGGCCUCUACAUGUAAGCUAUCGCGUUGGGAUGGGCCCAGUUAGGAUUAGCUAGUUGGUAAGGUAAUGGCUUACCAAGGCGACGAUCCUUAGCUGGUUUGAGAGGAUGAUCAGCCACACUGGGACUGAGACACGGCCCAGACUCCUACGGGAGGCAGCAGUGGGGAAUAUUGCACAAUGGGGGAGACCCUGAUGCAGCCAUGCCGCGUGUGUGAAGAAGGCCUUCGGGUUGUAAAGCACUUUCAGCAGUGAGGAAGGUAGUGUACUUAAUACGUGCAUUGCUUGACGUUAGCUGCAGAAGAAGCACCGGCUAACUCCGUGCCAGCAGCCGCGGUAAUACGGAGGGUGCGAGCGUUAAUCGGAAUUACUGGGCGUAAAGCGCAUGCAGGCGGUUUGUUAAGUCAGAUGUGAAAGCCCGGGGCUCAACCUCGGAACCGCAUUUGAAACUGGCAGGCUAGAGUCUUGUAGAGGGGGGUAGAAUUUCAGGUGUAGCGGUGAAAUGCGUAGAGAUCUGAAGGAAUACCAGUGGCGAAGGCGGCCCCCUGGACAAAGACUGACGCUCAGAUGCGAAAGCGUGGGUAGCAAACAGG
rnacentral:rRNA from 1 species